AUGCCUUUCUUCUCCGUUGCAAACGGCGAUCCUCUUCUGCGCCAAUUUCGGUUUGCACACUGUGGCUUUGUACUUUGUUCAUCAAUCUCAGGCUUUAGGCACCGUGAAUCAUCAUCUCGCUUAGAUCUCGAUUUUGACUCAUUCUUCUUCUUCGUGAUUCGGUUUCACUAUUCAUCAUUUCUCGCGAAUCAGCAACGACGGAGUUCUCCGAACGAGAUCAAUGAUAAUAGAUACGACGCGGUUGCUAUGUUGAUUCCAAAGAUGAUGAAGCUUGUAGAGGAUUGA